rnacentral:rRNA from 1 species
GACGAACGCUGGCGGCGUGCUUAACACAUGCAAGUCGAACGGAAAGGCCCUGCUUUUGUGGGGUGCUCGAGUGGCGAACGGGUGAGUAACACGUGAGUAACCUGCCCUUGACUUUGGGAUAACUUCAGGAAACUGGGGCUAAUACCGGAUAGGAGCUCCUGCUGCAUGGUGGGGGUUGGAAAGUUUCGGCGGUUGGGGAUGGACUCGCGGCUUAUCAGCUUGUUGGUGGGGUAGUGGCUUACCAAGGCUUUGACGGGUAGCCGGCCUGAGAGGGUGACCGGCCACAUUGGGAAUGAGAUACGGCCCAGACUCCUACGGGAGGCAGCAGUGGGGAAUAUUGCACAAUGGGCGGAAGCCUGAUGCAGCAACGCCGCGUGCGGGAUGACGGCCUUCGGGUUGUAAACCGCUUUCGCCUGUGACGAAGCGUGAGUGACGGUAAUGGGUGAAGAAGCACCGGCUAACUACGUG